UGAACGCUGGCGGUAUGCUUAACACAUGCAAGUCGAACGGUAACAGCAGAAGCUUGCUUCUGGCUGACGAGUGGCGGACGGGUGAGUAACGCGUGGGAAUCUGCCUUAUAGUGGGGGAUAGCCCGGAGAAAUCCGGAUUAAUACCGCAUACGCCCUACGGGGGAAAGCUGGGGAUCUUCGGACCUGGCGCUAUUAGAUGAGCCCGCGUUAGAUUAGCUAGUUGGUGGGGUAAAGGCCUACCAAGGCAACGAUCUAUAGCUGGUCUGAGAGGACGAUCAGCCACACUGGGACUGAGACACGGCCCAGACUCCUACGGGAGGCAGCAGUGGGGAAUAUUGCACAAUGGGCGAAAGCCUGAUGCAGCAAUACCGCGUGUGUGAAGAAGGCCUGAGGGUUGUAAAGCACUUUCAAUUGUGAAGAAAAGCUUUUGGUUAAUAACCUUGAGUCUUGACAUUAGCAAUACAAGAAGCACCGGCUAACUCC
rnacentral:rRNA from 1 species